UACGUAGGGUGCGAGCGUUGUCCGGAAUUAUUGGGCGUAAAGAGCUCGUAGGCGGUGUGUCACGUCGGCCGUGAAAACCUGGGGCUUAACUCUGGGCGUGCGGUCGAUACGGGCAUCACUAGAGUUCGGCAGGGGAGACUGGAAUUCCUGGUGUAGCGGCGAAAUGCGCAGAUAUCAGGAGGAACACCGGUGGCGAAGGCGGGUCUCUGGGCCGAUACUGACGCUGAGGAGCGAAAGCAUGGGUAGCGAACAGG
rnacentral:rRNA from 1 species